rnacentral:lncRNA from 1 species
UGUCUAUCAUGAAUGGCAAAAUCUGUAAUAAUCUUAAACCCCAAACCCCAUUGUAUAUAACACUCUUAUCAGUAUCUCUCUGUUCUGUUGUCUCACUCACUCACUUUCUCCACUCUCCACUUCUUCUACAGAUCUCAUCUCAUUCUUCUUCCACAAUGCAGAACUUUCUCCGACCGUCACCUAUGGCGGCGUUCACGGCGGCGCUACUCUUCAUCUCAACCAUUUU